UACGUAGGGGGCGAGCGUUGUCCGGAUUUAUUGGGCGUAAAGAGCUCGUAGGCGGUCUGUCGCGUCGAUCGUGAAAACUCGGGGCUUAACCCCGAGCCUGCAGUGGAUACGGGCAGACUAGAGGUAGGUAGGGGAGAAUGGAAUUCCCGGUGUAGCGGUGAAAUGCGCAGAUAUCGGGAGGAACACCGGUGGCGAAGGCGGCUCACUGGUCCGGUACUGACGCUGAGGUGCGAAAGCGUGGGGAGCAAACAGGG
rnacentral:rRNA from 1 species